GGGGAAUAUUGGACAAUGGGCGCAAGCCUGAUCCAGCCAUGCCGCGUGAGUGAUGAAGGCCUUAGGGUUGUAAAGCUCUUUUGUCCGGGACGAUAAUGACGGUACCGGAAGAAUAAGCCCCGGCUAACUUCGUGCCAGCAGCCGCGGUAAUACGAAGGGGGCUAGCGUUGCUCGGAAUCACUGGGCGUAAAGGGCGCGUAGGCGGCCAUUCAAGUCGGGGGUGAAAGCCUGUGGCUCAACCACAGAAUUGCCUUCGAUACUGUUUGGCUUGAGUUUGGUAGAGGUUGGUGGAACUGCGAGUGUAGAGGUGAAAUUCGUAGAUAUUCGCAAGAACACCAGUGGCGAAGGCGGCCAACUGGACCAAUACUGACGCUGAGGCGCGAAAGCGUGGGGAGCAAAC
rnacentral:rRNA from 1 species